rnacentral:rRNA from 1 species
UACGUAGGGGGCAAGCGUUGUCCGGAAUCAUUGGGCGUAAAGAGCGUGUAGGCGGCCUGAUAAGUCGGCUGUGAAAGUCGGGGGCUCAACCCUCGAAUGCCGGUGGAUACUGUCGGGCUAGAGUGCGGAAGAGGCGAGUGGAAUUCCUGGUGUAGCGGUGAAAUGCGCAGAUAUCAGGAGGAACACCGAUUGCGAAGGCAGCUCGCUGGGACGUUACUGACGCUGAGACGCGAAAGCGUGGGGAGCAAACAGG